GAUGAACGCUGGCGGCGUGCCUAAUGCAUGCAAGUCGAGCGAACAGACGAGGAGCUUGCUCCUCUGACGUUAGCGGCGGACGGGUGAGUAACACGUGGAUAACCUACCUAUAAGACUGGGAUAACUUCGGGAAACCGGAGCUAAUACCGGAUAAUAUAUUGAACCGCAUGGUUCAAUAGUGAAAGACGGUUUUGCUGUCACUUAUAGAUGGAUCCGCGCCGCAUUAGCUAGUUGGUAAGGUAACGGCUUACCAAGGCAACGAUGCGUAGCCGACCUGAGAGGGUGAUCGGCCACACUGGAACUGAGACACGGUCCAGACUCCUACGGGAGGCAGCAGUAGGGAAUCUUCCGCAAUGGGCGAAAGCUUGACGGAGCAACGCCGCGUGAGUGAUGAAGGUCUUCGGAUCGUAAAACUCUGUUAUUAGGGAAGAACAAAUGUGUAAGUAACUAUGCACGUCUUGACGGUACCUAAUCAGAAAGCCACGGCUAACUACGUG
rnacentral:rRNA from 1 species